rnacentral:tRNA from 1 species
UACUAAACUAGCAAAAAACUGCAUAAGCUUUAGAAUCUUAUAUAUCACCA